rnacentral:rRNA from 1 species
CGGCGUGCUUAACACAUGCAAGUCGAACGGGGAUGCUUAUGGAAGGAGUGCUUGCACUUUGGAAAUGAGUAUCUUAGUGGCGGACGGGUGAGUAACGCGUGGGUAACCUGCCCCAUACCGGGGGAUACCACCUGGAAACAGGUGCUAAUACCGCAUAAGCGCACGGGAGCGCAUGCUCCUGUGUGAAAAACUCCGGUGGUAUGGGAUGGACCCGCGUCUGAUUAGCCAGUUGGCAGGGUAACGGCCUACCAAAGCGACGAUCAGUAGCCGGCCUGAGAGGGUGGACGGCCACAUUGGGACUGAGACACGGCCCAAACUCCUACGGGAGGCAGCAGUGGGGAAUAUUGCACAAUGGGGGAAACCCUGAUGCAGCGACGCCGCGUGAGUGAAGAAGUAUUUCGGUAUGUAAAGCUCUAUCAGCAGGAACGAGACAAGACGGUACCUGACUAAGAAGCCCCGGCUAACUACGUGCCAGCAGCCGCGGUAAUACGUAGGGGGCAAGCGUUAUCCGGAAUCACUGGGUGUAAAGGGAGCGUAGACGGCUGAGCAAGCCUGAAGUGAAAGGCGGGGGCCCAACCCCCGGACUGCUUUGGGAACUGUACGGCUGGAGUGCAGGAGAGGUAAGUGGAAUUCCUAGUGUAGCGGUGAAAUGCGUAGAUAUUAGGAGGAACACCAGUGGCGAAGGCGGCUUACUGGACUGUAACUGACGUUGAGGCUCGAAAGCGUGGGGAGCAAACAGGAUUAGAUACCCUGGUAGUCCACGCCGUAAACGAU